rnacentral:tRNA from 1 species
GUCAACUUGGCCGAGUGGUUAAGGCGACAGACUUGAAAUCUGUUGGGUUCGCCCUCGUAGGUUCAAAUCCUGCAGUUGACG